AAUCAACGCUGGCGGCGUGCCUAACACAUGCAAGUCGAACGCGGUUACCCCGCAAGGGGUAACUGAGUGGCGAACGGGUGAGUAACACGUGGGUGACCUACCUUCGAAUGGGGGAUAACG
rnacentral:rRNA from 1 species